CACGUAGGAUGCAAGCGUUAUUCGGAUUUACUGGGCGUAAAGCGCGUGUAGGCGGUUAGGAGAGUUGGAUGUGAAAGCUCCCGGCUUAACUGGGAGAGGUCGUUCAAAACUUCCUGACUAGAGUUUGGUAGAGGAAAAUGGAAUUCCGGGUGUAGUGGUGAAAUGCGUAGAUAUCCGGAGGAACACCGGUGGCGAAGGCGGCUACCUGGACCGAUAUUGACGCUGAGACGCGAAAGCGUGGGUAGCAAACAGGAUUAGAAACCCCGGUAGU
rnacentral:rRNA from 1 species